GCAUUGCUGGGUAGCUAUAUAGGGUUGUGAUAACCGCUGAAAGCAUCUAAGCGGGAAGCCAUACCAAAGAUUAGAUAUCACUGGACCUUUAAGGUCCCUGAAGAUCCGUUCAAGACCAGGACGUUGAUAGGCUGGGUGUGGAAGCUUGGUAACAAGUGAAGCUAACCAGUACUAAUUGAUCGUGAGGCUUGCUCUUAUAACAUUA
rnacentral:rRNA from 1 species